CUACUGCUGUAGCAGAGUGCUCCAGUUUAGCCACUUUUGUAGUAAAUUUUUGUACAAAAAUUUACUACAAAAGUGGCUAAACUGGAGCACUCUGCUACAGCAGUAGAGU
rnacentral:pre_miRNA from 1 species